rnacentral:rRNA from 1 species
CCUACGGGAGGCAGCAGUAGGGAAUAUUGCUCAAUGGGGGAAACCCUGAAGCAGCAACGCCGCGUGUAUGAUGAAGGUUUUCGGAUUGUAAACUACUUUUGGUGGAGAGGAUGAUGCCGUGGUUUAACGAAGCAGCACCUGCUAACUCCGGGCCAACAACCGCGGUAAUACGGAGGGUGCAAGCGUUAGUCGGAAUUACUGGGCGUAAAGAGCACGUAGGCGGGUUAGCAAGUCAGAUGUGAAAUCCUAGGGCUUAACCAGAGAACUGCAUCUGAUACUGGUAUGCUUGAGUAUGGGAGAGGGAGGUAGAAUUCCUGGUGUAGGGGUAAAAUGCGUAGAGAUCAGGAGGAAUACUGGUGGCGAAGGCGACCCCCUGGACCAAAACUGACGCUGAGGUGCGAAAGCGUGGGGAGCAAACAGGAUUAGAUACCCCGGUAGUC